rnacentral:rRNA from 1 species
UCCGUAGGCGGGUCAUUAAGUCAGAGGUGAAAUCCCACAGCUUAACUGUGGAACUGCCUUAGAUACUGGUGAUCUUGAGUUUUAGUGAAGUAGAUAGAAUGUGUAGUGUAGCGGUGAAAUGCAUAGAUAUUACACAGAAUACCGAUUGCGAAGGCAGUCUACUAACUAACAACUGACGCUGAUGGACGAAAGCGUGGGGAGCGAACAGGAUUAGAUACCCUGGUAGUCC